rnacentral:rRNA from 1 species
GACGAACGCUGGCGGCGUGCUUAACACAUGCAAGUCGAACGGACAGGCCCUGCUUUUGUUGGUUUCUCGAGUGGCGAACGGGUGAGUAACACGUGAGUAACCUGCCCUUGACUUUGUGAUAACUUCAGGAAACUGGGGCUCAUACCGGAUAGGAUCUCCUGCUGCAUGGUGGGCGUUGGAAAGUUUCGGCGGUUGGGGAUGGACUCGCGGCUUAUCAGCUUGUUGGUGAGGUAGUUGCUUACCAAGGCUUUGACGGGUAGCCGGCCUGGGAGGGUGACCGGGGUCAAUGGGACUGAGGGAGGGCCCAGAAGGGUACGGGAGGCAACAGGGGGGAGUAUUACACAAUGGGGGGAAGCGAGAGGCAGAGACGCCGGGAGCGGGAUGACGGGCUUCGGGGGGUGAACAGAUGUCGAAGGAGACGAAGAGGGAGUGACGGUAAUGGGUAAAGAAGCACCGGCUAACUACGUG